rnacentral:rRNA from 1 species
UACGGAGGGUGCAAGCGUUAAUCGGAAUUACUGGGCGUAAAGCGUACGUAGGUGGUUUGUUAAGCCAGCUGUGAAAUCCCCGGGCUCAACCUGGGCACUGCAGUUGGAACUGGCAAGCUAGAGUUGGGUAGAGGGGUGUGGAAUUCCAGGUGUAGCGGUGAAAUGCGUAGAUAUCUGGAGGAACAUCAGUGGCGAAGGCGACACCCUGGACUCAUACUGACACUGAGAGACGAAAGCUAGGGGAGCAAAUGGG